rnacentral:rRNA from 1 species
AUACGUAGGGGGCGGGCGUUGUCCGGAAUGAUUGGGCGUAAAGGGCGCGUAGGCGGCCCGGUAAGUCUGGAGUGAAAGUCCUGCUUUUAAGGUGGGAAUUGCUUUGGAUACUGUCGGGCUUGAGUGCAGGAGAGGUAAGUGGAAUUCCCAGUGUAGCGGUGAAAUGCGUAGAGAUUGGGAGGAACACCAGUGGCGAAGGCGACUUACUGGACUGUAACUGACGCUGAGGCGCGAAAGUGUGGGGAGCAAACAGGAUUAGAUACCCUGGUAGUCCACACUGUAAACGAUGAAUGCUAGGUGUAGGGGGUAUCGACCCCUUCUGUGCCGCAGUUAACACAAUAAGCAUUCCGCCUGGGGAGUACGGCCGCAAGGUUGAAACUCAAAUGAAUUGACGGG